rnacentral:rRNA from 1 species
GACGAACGCUGGCGGCGUGCUUACCACAUGCAAGUCGAACGAAGUGGCGAACGGGUGAGUAAUACGUGAGUAACCUGCCCUCCUUUUUGGGAUAAGCAUUGGAAACGGGGUCUAAUACCGGAUAAGGGGGGAUGGGCUCGCUGCCUAUCAGCUUUUUGGUGGGGUGAUGGCCUACCAAGGCGUGGACGGGUAGCCGGCCUGAGAGGGUGACCUGCCACAUUGGGACUGUGGUACGGCCCAGAGUGCUACGGGAGGCAGCAGUGGGGGAUAGUCGGCAAUGGGGGAAAGCCUGAUGCAGCGACGCCGCGGGGGGGGUGAAGGCUUUCGGAUUGUAAACCUCUUUCGGUCAUGACGCGGUAGUGGCAGAAGAAGCACCGGCUAACUACGUGCCAGCAGCCGCGGUAAUAC